CACGUAUUUAGCCGGAGCUUCUUUUUCAGGUACCGUCACUUUCUUCCCUGCUGAUAGAGCUUUACAUAACGAAUUACUUCUUCACUCACGCGGCGUCGCUGCAUCAGAGUUCCCUCCAUUGUGCAAUAUUCCCCACUGCUGCCUCCCGUAGGAGUCUGGGCCGUGUCUCGGUCCCAAUGUGGCCGUCCACCCUCUCAGGCCGGCUACUGAUCGUCGCCUUGGUGUGCUUUUACCACUCCAACUAGCUAAUCAGACGCGGGUCCAUCUCAUACCAGAUUUCUCCUUUUCACACAAAUACAUGCGUCUUCGUGCGCUUAUGCGGUUUUACCACCUAGUUUCCCGAUGCUAUCCCCCUGUAUGAGGCAGGUUGCCCACGCGUUACUCACCCGUCCGCCACUAAGAUACUUCUCUUCACUACCGAAAAGCUUCCAAGCCAAUAUCUCCGUUCGACUUUGCUAUGUGUUAGGCACGCCGCCAGCGUUCAUCCUGAGCCAGGUA
rnacentral:rRNA from 1 species